CAACUACUCCCUCUGUCCCAAAUUUCUUGUCUUAGAUUUGUCUAGAUACGGAUGUAUCUAAUACUAAAAUGUGACUUGAUACAUCCAUAUCUAGACAAAUCUAAGACAAGAAUUUUGGGACGGUGGGAGUACUUU
rnacentral:pre_miRNA from 1 species